ACUGAGCGGCGGACGGGUGAGUAACGCGUGGGUAACCUGCCUCAUACAGGGGGAUAACAGUUGGAAACGGCUGCUAAUACCGCAUAAGCGCACAGUACCGCAUGGUACGGUGUGAAAAACUCCGGUGGUAUGAGAUGGACCCGCGUCUGAUUAGGUAGUUGGUGGGGUAACGGCCUACCAAGCCGACGGUCAGUAGCCGACCUGAGAGGGUGACCGGCCACAUUGGGACUGAGACACGGCCCAA
rnacentral:rRNA from 1 species